UACGUAGGCAGCAAGCGUUGUCCGGAAUUAUUGGGCGUAAAGAGCUCGUAGGCGGUUUGUCGCGUCUGCUGUGAAAACGCGAGGCUCAACCUCGCGCCUGCAGUGGGUACGGGCAGACUAGAGUGCGGUAGGGAGAUUGGAAUUCCUGGUGUAGCGGUGGAAUGCGCAGAUAUCAGGAGGAACACCGAUGGCGAAGGCAGAUCUCUGGGCCGUAACUGACGCUGAGAGACGAAAGCUAGGGGAGCGAAUGGG
rnacentral:rRNA from 1 species